GCCAUUGUGGCAUAGUGGUUUGAGCAUCGGACUACAACUCUGAAGACCAGAGUUGAAUUCCCCGCUCAACCA